ensembl:lncRNA
CAUGACGUCCUUCUCAAGAAUCUCCUGGUAUACCUCAGAAUUAAUGAUUCCCUUGAUGUGCAGUCAAUGAGGUCCACAGGAGGAAAAGAACAUGGUCUUCCAAAAACCUUUAGGUUGUCCAGGAGGUUUCCAAGUUAAGUUUUGCUGUUUUUUUAUUUUUUAUUUAUUGUUGAAGCAUGCACAGUAACCUGAGAUGAGAGGUCUUCAAAUCAUUGUUGGUAUUUACCUGACUUAUUACUUUUCUAGUGUUUCUUGGGAAUGUACUGCAUCCACUUAUAAGCUGAAUUGCUUUCAUGGUGCCAUUAAUAGAGGUAACGAGUGGAGGACAUAGGAACCUCUUAAAGAAGAAGUUACAGGUACAUAGAACAAUUCUUAGGACGAGCAUUCAUCUCCUCAAUAAGUACCCAAUGGGCCUCAUUCACCAACCAUUCUUAAGAUGAAAUUCCUUCUUCAAACCCACCUACACAGUUCCCAUGAAGAUUCUGCCAUUCACUAAUGUUUUCUUAUUUGGGAUUUGUUCUCAGGCAGGCAGUACACGUAUCUCUGUUCUCGCACCAGCAGGCUCCGGAACAGUUUCUUUCCAUCUGCUAUAACCCUGCUGAACUCUGUGACUUUCCAUCACUAUGCCCACACUUUGUACUACUGGACUCUGUCACUG